rnacentral:miRNA from 1 species
UGUGUGUACAUGUAUAUGUGUGUGUACAUGUAUAUGUGUGUGUGUACAUGUAUAUGUGUAUACAUGCAUAGA